GACGAACGCUGGCGGCGUGCUUAACACAUGCAAGUCGAACGGGUCUGCCCUGUUUUUUGCGGGGUGGGUCAGUGGCGAACGGGUGAGUAACACGUGAGUAACCUGCCCCUCACUUCUGGAUAACCGCUUGAAAGGGUGGCUAAUACGGGGUGUUCUGGCUGUGCCGCAUGGUGUGGCUGGGAAAGAUUCACUUUUGUGGUGUUUUGGUGGGGGAUGGGCUCGCGGCCUAUCAGCUUGUUGGUGGGGUGAUGGCCUGCCAAGGCUUUGACGGGUAGCCGGCCUGAGAGGGUGGGCGGUCACACUGGGACUGAGAUACGGCCCAGACUCCUGCGGGAGGCAGCAGUGGGGGGUAUUGCACAAUGGGCGGAAGCCUGGUGCAGCGACGUCGCGUGAGGGAUGGAGGCCUUCGGGUUGUGAACCUCUUUCGCCGGUGAAGAAGGUCCUGCUCUUUGUGGUGGGGUUGACGGUAGCCGGGUUAUGAAGCGCCGGCUAACUACGUG
rnacentral:rRNA from 1 species